rnacentral:lncRNA from 1 species
AAGUAAAGCAGAAAAAGAAAACGGAAAGAAAACUACAAAAAGACUUAACCAUAAAUAAAAUGUCUUUGCCUUCGUCAGGUCGAUAAUAACUCUGGUUCUCGGCUUCCUGCUGCUGGGCUUGGCCUUGAUGGCGCCCAUCUCCUCAGCCAAGCCAUCGCGAUCCUUCCCAGAAUAUUGCAAGUACGUGAGAAUUCAAUGCUACCCAACGUCAACACACGAAUGCUGCCGCUGGUAUUAGCUGUUGCACCGUGCUUGUGCUCUUGCGUCUAAGUAACUCUAACUUAGAGACUUUGAACGCAUGUCAUAAUGAAUACGGUAACAUGUAUUGAUGAAUAAAGUUGUUAUUUGUUA